CCUACGGGAGGCAGCAGUGAGGAAUAUUGGUCAAUGGACGAGAGUCUGAACCCGCCAAGUAGCGUGAAUGAUGACUGCCCUCUGGGUUGUAAACUUCUUUUAUAAAGGAAUAAAACGAGGCACGUGUGCCUUUUUGCAUGUACUUUAUGAAUAAGGAUCGGCUAACUCCGUGCCGGCAGCCGCGGUAAUACGGAGGAUCCGAGCGUUAUCCGGAUUUAUUGGGUUUAAAGGGAGCGUGGAUGGGUUGUUAAGUCAGUUGUGAAAGUUUGCGGUUCAACCGUAAAAUUGCAAUUGAUACUGGCAGUCUUGAGUAAAGUUGAGGUAAGAGGAAGUGGUGGUGUAGCGGUGAAUGCUUAGAUAUCACGAAGAACCCCGAUUGCGAAGGCAGCUUACUAAACUGUGACUGACAUUGAUGCUCGAAAGUGUGGGUAUCAAACAAGAUUAGAUACCCGUGUAGUC
rnacentral:rRNA from 1 species